rnacentral:lncRNA from 1 species
UACCUUUGGAGCAAUGACAUCAACAAACUUGUCAGCAGCUGAUGGUUUGAAGACAAUUUCCUCAUCCUCUUCUUCUCCUUCCAGGUAUAAUUGUGGCUUCUGCUGCAAAGUGCUUGAGUUCAUAUUUUUCUCUUCUGGAUGUUCUUGGCCCGCACCAUUUACUGCAAGUACUUCAAAAGAACCACUGAAUGCAAAGUCAUUGGCCAUUUGAGGAUCAACUCCAAUAGAAAAUUUCUUCAACUUUGGAUCAAAAUAUAUUCCCUGUUGCCCAAUCCUAACAAUGUUUAUAAGAGACUUUCCCGCCGCAAUAAUCCUCUCAACACGAGCAUUUUUAUCCUUAUUGCCACCGUCACUUCCAAAAGACUGCUUUCUUGAAUAAUCAAGAAUGAGUUGUGCAGGCAGAAGUGGCAAGAAUCCUCUUAAUUCAAAGUCCUCCCACAAUGCAAGCCGGUUGGCAGUCUCACCUUCUUCAUACUUACUCAUAUUGAAGAAACAAAUUUCAUCCUGAUCCUCAUUACUGGACGUGAACCCACUCGACAGGAGAUUGUUCAAGAACGAAAUACAAUGGUUCCAAAAGAAUGUUCUAGCAGUAGCUUGUUUCUCCUCCACUUCGUUCCCAACUGCAAUAUCUGGAUGACAGGCUAACCA